UGAUAGGCCAUCUGCAAGUGUACAGACUUAACCCGGUUUUAAUAAUUAUCGAACCACGGAGACCUGAGGAUUGAAUCUUUAGUUUCUAUUGCCAAAGUUUGAAGUGAGAAAACAAUAAAUAUCAUAUACAAUUGAGUUGAUUGUGUAGCAAGGUAAACAGUGAUAUGAUAAGUAAAAUAUAUAAGAGAAGAAUGCUUUGGGUUUAUAAUCCACUAAUUUAGGGUAAGUAGCCAAGUUCUAAUUCAUGUUAUUCUCUAAGUGAAAUCUAGAUGAUUUAAUCUCAUUAAUUACUUGUCGAUUUUGCCGUACGAGUAAUCCUUUUAAGCUAAAACCAGUCACAAUGUCUUGUUAUUCCGUGAAUUAACUUAAAGCAUUAAGAAAGAUAAGUCGGAUCAACAAACUUGAAGGCCAUCCCCAUGUCUAGUGUAAUGAAACAAAUCAAGUAACUUCAAAACAGGAUCCCUAAUUCCAAAUCUCCGGUCGGUUUCAAAGAAAUUAGUAAGAGGCUAACAUGCAUACAAGCUUGAAUCAACGGAAGGAAGCUAAUCCUAGGCUUGUUUAAUUCAGUGAGAAGCAAGCAUACAUGAAAAUAAUAAGUUCAGAAGUUGAAGUUCUAGCAUAAAGAUAACAUGAGUUAGAACAAGGAUUUAUAACCUACUCAUUUAUUAGCUUCAUAAAAACCCAAAACAUAAAGAAGUUUAGCCAAGCAUGGCUAUGGAGAACAAGAUCAUACCUUUGGAGAAGGCCAUGGCUUGCUCACAAAUGGAAGAAGAAACUAAGCUAUUACAAGAGAAACUAGAGCUAUUUUAUGCUAGAAUGAUGGUGUGAAGGGAUGACAAUGAAGGAGAGCUUAAGGGUCUAUUUAUAGUAUUUUUGAGUGCCAAAACCGUGGUGGUGGUUGGCCUCUUGAUCAUGAAAGCUCCACUUUCUUUUUCUUUAAAGCUUGUGCUUUAUCUUUUGCUUUAUCUUGCUUUUGUCUUUGUCCCCCAUUCAAGUCACUUUAACCACACCUUGGGACCUCCAUUAUCAUCAUGAAUCAGCUGAUAAUCACAUUACUUCAUGUGGGCUUUGUCCCUUCAUGAUUGUGGGAAGAAAUUGAGUUUUGGUCCCUCAACCCGUGGGUGUUGGACAGCUCAGACCUCUUUUAGAAAAACGGUCAUUGUGACGUGAUUAACCGUUGGAUUGGCCUGAAAUUUGGAUAUGUUGUUCCCAACCCAUUGAUCUUCAAUAUGAACCGUCGGAUUGUCAAGCAAAUGUCUGAGUUGUGAGAAAUGGCUCACGCAAUAAGCACCAGAAAAUCUGAAGCCAAACUGCAUUCAUCCUUCUUUGGACAGCUUAUUUCCUUUUGUUUGCCCAUGCUUCUCUUGCAUUGUUUAGUCAUACUUUCAAGGAACACUCCAUGAGAAAAUUUGCAAGCUGAAUCAAUGUAUAUUCAUAAAGCAAAGUUUGAUUUUUUAAUCAUUCUUUAUGAAUCAUUCUUUAUUCCAUGCUCUUGCUUUUCUUUCUUUAUCUUGUCCAAGCUACUUUUGCCAUGUUCUCUUGCUUUUCUUUCUACUUUUG
rnacentral:lncRNA from 1 species